rnacentral:lncRNA from 1 species
CCUGUCGUCUUCCUUGCCCAGCCCAAAUGAAUGUUUGGGGCCGCAUCCUUUCUAGUGAGCUGGGAAGUUGUCAGCGCGUGUAACAUUGGAGCCAGGCGGGGACCCAGAGCGGGGCGGGAUGAAGCUGCUGGGCGUCGCGCUGCUGGCCGCUGCCUUGCUCGGCACCCUCGUCUGGGCCAAGGAGACGCUGUGGGGGGACGGGCACCCCCAGACCUGCUUCUUCGAGCUGUUGAGCAGCCUGGACAACAAGUUCUGCAGGUGAGCGGCUCCCACUUUCCUUUCUAUGCUACACCGGGGCCUUGCAGAAACGCCUGGUGCAAGCCCCAGCGCGUGCAACGGGGUAAGGCUCGCCCAGUCUCGGGCUGCCCUCGUGAGCCUGGCGCGCCAGCUCCUGGGACAGCUAAUUCCCAUAUCCCCUCUGCCGGGGCUGUAAACGCCGAUGGCUUCCCCCUUUUGCUGGGAAGCAGCAAAGGAGCCCGGUAAAGCGGUGCCCGCGGUGCUGCCCGGCUUUAUGCAAGCUGGGAUCCUGCAGUCUCUGGUCCGUGUUGCAGCGUCUGAUAAAAGGCCUUGCACAGUCCAAGCUGAUGGAGAUAACAAAUGUUUCCCGCAGCAAACUUCAGCAGAAGGAGG